UGGCCAUGUGAUGAACAUAGUUACUUACAUAAAGGCAUGUAUAAAACUGACCCUUUAGCCUUCAGGGUUGCUUCUCUUUCCUCAUUCCUAAUAGUGAUGAAUGUACCAUUACAUGCCACUCAGUUACAUUAGGUAGUCGGUCACAUUAGUUGUGUUUCAAUCCUUUUCCCUAAACUGCACGUCCAGUAGGUCAUUCAAAAUGCAAAUUGUCACUGGAAUAAAUGAAGUAAUACUCCUAUCAUUAGCAGUAAUUUCUGUCUUCAGCUCUUUAAUCUGCACUGGCCUUAUUUUCCCCUCA
rnacentral:lncRNA from 1 species